rnacentral:misc_RNA from 1 species
CCUAAAAGAUACGUGUUAUGUGCAGUGCUCACACAGAUUGUCUGAUGAAGAACGAGCAAAAGCGCGUCUGCGAAGCUGACUGAAGUCCCCUUCGUCUAGAGGCCUAGGACACCGCCCUUUCACGGCGGUAACAGGGGUUCGAAUCCCCUAGGGGACGCCAAUUGCGCGGUAUGAGUGGAAGGCGUACCACACUAUAGUCUGAUGCAAAUCAGAGAAUAGUUAAGAUAAUUUUAGCAGGUUAUUUUAACUAUUAUGCUCUUUAACAAUCUGGAACAAGCUGAAAAAUUGAAAACAAAUCAAUAUAUCACCGAGGUAUAUUGAUGAGUCUCUCAAAAUCUCAAACUUUGAAGUGUGAAACUCCAAGACAUUCGUCUUCGAGAGGAAACACCUUCGGGUUGUGA